UCGAAAUUUAAAUAAUACAGAUGAGACGUUUAAAGAGCCAAUGUUGGUCAGAGGAUUUUAUUCCCUUUAAUUCAACGAAAUUAAAUGCCACAAACCCAACACAUUCAAACAGGUAUUAAAAACUUGGCACGCUAAAUUAGGCAGGAGAAAGUGUAUUAAUAAAUUACUUUGGUCAAGAGUGUGUAGGCCGACCCCCCCUUGCUUGUUCUCUGAAGGGCAAACAGGUUCCAAACAAGAGUUCCGAGUUCCAUAGCAACUUAAAGAAGGAGGAUUCCUUCUGGAAAGACCGCUCCCAUGGUAACAACCAGAUUCAGGUCCGCAUCCCAUGGAAUUGAAUUCGGUAACUGCCCCUAGUUCCCAUUCACUUAAAAAUCAACAGUGAUUCAAUAUAUCUGCAGUUCGAUUGGAUAUACUUUUAAAUAUUUGGAGUUGCUUUACAACACCUUAUAAGACUAGGAAGGCGCAAAACUGUCUUUUAAAGAAAAUUCUCCAACCAACCAUCAUUAAUUAACAUUCCCUGACAAUCAAUCUCUUAACAAACAUACCCUAAUGAACAGUUAGUAAAAAAAUCAUUCUCUUAGCAAACAUACCCUAAUGAACUAUUAGUAACCAUCAUUCUAUUGACAGACCUUCGUUAACAAACAUUCCCCAUCAAAAAGUCUUCAAUAAUGAUUUUCUUAACUAACCUCUGAAGUACCUUUCAAAUUUUCCAGAACUAGGCAUACCCAACAACCAGUCAUUAUCAAACAGUCCCAAACGAUUACCCAAACGACCAGUCCCUAACGACCAGUCCCCAUCCAACAGUCCCCAACCAACAGUCCCUAACGACCAGUCCCCAUCCAACAGUCCCCAUCCAUCCAACAGUCCCCAUCCAACAGUCCCCAUCCAUCCAACAGUCCCCAUCCAACAGUCCCCAUCCAAAUUCCAACACUCCCCAUCCAACAGUCCCCAUCUAACAGUCCCCAUCCAACAUCCCCAUCCAACACUCCCCAUCCAACAGUCCCCAUCCAACAGUCCCCAUCCAACACUCCCCAUCCAACAGUCCCCAUCCAACAGUCCCUAAAUAAAUUGAAUGUGCAAAUUAUUUCAUCAUAGAGUUCAGUACUAUAAGUAACUAUAAUAAAGUAUGUUAGCACUUGCUAAAGUGACUUCAUGAGUAGAAUAACCUUCUUAAGUGUAUUGAACAGCAGAUCCCGAUGUAUUCAGCAGAUUUUGUUGCACGUCUCUAAAGAGUCGGUCCCUCUCCGCUGAAUCCCACAGGAUUUUCUGCGGCAAAGGAAAAACAAUGGAUCGAGAUCAGCAAAGGAAAUCCAAGAAGUUGUAAAGUGUGCGUCA
ensembl:lncRNA